CGUGUAGGCGGUUGGCCAAGUCCGAUGUGAAAGCCCGAGGCUCAGCCUCGGAAGUGCAUCGGAAACUAGCCGGCUGGAGCGCGAUAGAGGAGGGUGGAAUUCCUGGUGUAGCGGUGAAAUGCGUAGAUAUCAGGAGGAACACCGGCGGCGAAGGCGGCCCUCUGGAUCGUUGCUGACGCUGAGACGCGAAAGCGUGGGGAGCAAACAGGAUUAGAUACCCUGGUAGUCCACGCUGUAAACGAUGGGUACUAGGUGUUCGGGGUAUUGACCCCCUGAGUGCCGCAGUUAACGCAUUAAGUACCCCGCCUGGGGACUACGGCCGCAAGGUUAA
rnacentral:rRNA from 1 species